GUGCCACAGAAUGUUUAUUAUUCUGUAGCAUUUUUAGAAAUUACGCUCUUUGUUAAACCCACCAUGGUGCUCAGUGUGUGUGUGUGUGGGGGGGGCUGGUGAUUCAUUAAUUCAUUGCGAUGAUUUGUCCUAAUUAUUCUAAUUACUGCCUUGUCUUCUCAGACCAGCUGGUGCCUAGAAGUGGAGGGUAAGUCACCAGCCCUGAGCAUGGAGGUAGCUACAGAAUCCUGGGUGCUGGACCUGCAGAAUUCAUGGAUAUGGGGUCAGGAGAGCCUCACUGCUGCUGCUAAGUCUGAGUUGCCUGUGCUGCUGCUUUAGCUUGAGUGUGGGUCACUGGAAUUUUCCACCAUGCCUUUUCUAACUUUUCUGGGGAGAGAAGAGCCCUGAUCCAUGUUGCUUUUCCCUGUUUGAAUGGCUCUUAAACUUAGUCUGGCCUUCUAACAACUGUUGAUAAUAAAUAGAUCUAUCACUUAACGGCACACUACCAAGUGCCAUCCUCAGUACGGACCGCUUUGCCUGCACUGCUCUUAGUGGCUCAGUGAGGGAGUGACAUAGGGGAUUGGAUCCCAGGUCACUGACCCUGCAAUCCUGGGUCCUUUGCACAUCAAUCUUUCCCUCUCACACAGAAAAGCAGGGCCUUUCUGCUCAUGCUGGCUUCUUAUCUGAGAUCUCUGCUUCUUGCAUCCCUGAACUCUUUUGCUAUGAUCAUUCACAUUCUGUCCUGGCUAACUAACAGCCCCUGGUAGCCAUCCAUGUUGACUUGAAUGUGUGAAAUGUCUUUUAAGUUAUUUAUACCUUAUUUUUCUGGACAGAAGUACAUUCUGGAAAAUGCUGGAACUGUGGCUCAUCCCUUAGGGAAUGAGCUGGUACUUAACAGAAUCUAUGGCAUAAGAAGUUCUGCAAUGAGGCUGGUUGACAACAAAGCAAGGUGUUGCAAUAAGGCAAUGCUGAUAUUGAAAGACUUGACUGAGAAGGAGUCAGUUCAUCUUAUUAUUCAAGUAAUUUCUUGGGGAGUUAUCACAACCCUGACUGGCUUUUCUUGACCAACUUCUAUUCUUAUUCACAUCUCAGCUUACUUGUCAUUUCUCCAAAGAAGACCUUCCCAGCUCUAUAGACUAUGGGAUGCCCUGCUUUCUUGCAUUCAAAGAAUAGUGGAAUCGCCUCAUACUUAAAUUUACUUUUCCUAAGGCUUGCUUUGCCAAAGAGGCUGGAAGUUUUGUGAGGUCAGAGGCUCCAUCUUGUCUGAUACUCUGACAUUCUUGGCACCAAGAGAUUGCUGCUCAGGGCAGGCCUCUGUCCAAGUGCUCCACAAGACUGGAAGUUGUGUGCCCACAGACAGCUUCCUCAUUUCUAGGUGGCCAUAUCCUUUCAGGGAUCCCCAGUCAUAGUUGGAAGUUACCUGUACAGCCUGCACAGAAGAAGUGGAACAGGGCUUCAGGUGGCAUGAAGUGAGAAGGUGGGGUGGCAUGAAGUAGAAGAUUUCUUCUAUGAGUAGAAGAAAUGCUGGAGAACCCCAUUGGACAAACAGAGAAGCUUCAGAAAGAAUGACUGAUGUGCAGGAAUAAAGAAAAAGAAGGCCAAGAGUGAAGGAACCUGUGUUGUUAGCAGGACAGUGGAUUCUCUCUUGAUGUGGUCUUUGGCUGAACCUGCUCAUCAGGCUGACCAGAGAACUAGAGCCUGAUUUCUAUAUCUGAAGAUUUCAGUAGCACCUGGCCUGUUUGCAUUUUAAAGAUGUUAGAUGAUUCAAACAAAUGCAGAAAACAUGAAGAGCUAUCUGCGUGUAAAAGGUUUUAGUAUUGAGUUGUUCUUCAUUUUGCUAACUGAACUGAAGGAUGGUUUGCCUGGCUCCAUUUCACACGGUGAGCUAUUUGCUAUGUACAUUCAUGAGCCAGAUGCUAAUAAGACCCGGACCGAUAGCAUAUGCAACUUGGAACCUUUAGCCUGGACCGAUAAGCAUGAUGUGUUGUGUUCAUGAGGAACAGAUGGUUUAAAUUUAAAUUCAAAUUUUAAAGGAAACACAAAGCUGAAAUGAAACUCUUUGAAUGCUUGAUAAAAACAUUUGAUAUUUAUUAAUAAUGUAAUCAAAUUUAAUGGAAUUCAGUUGAACCCUUAAACUGUCCAGAGAGUACAAAUUAAUGAUGAUUUUUUUUAAUCUUUUUAUGAUUACAAUAAUGAUUUAGACUUUUCUAGAAUGCAGCUUUUGGGAGAAAUCCUGAUAGAAAAAAAUAAACUUCAGGACGUCAUUCAGCAUGAUGUCUGAAAAAUUAAUACUCUUGAUAGUAAUUUGAAAUGGAAACAGAAAAAAAAAAGAAAAAAAAAAAGAAAUGGAAACAGACAUUUUGUAAGUGCCAAGGGGAUAAUGAAUCCAUUUUCAACCCCCCAUCCCUCCAGGGUUAUUUCCUCUCUGCUCUCCAGUAGCUGAGAUGAGAUGUUAAUUUCUUGAAGUAAUGGAUGUAUCGAAACCCAGCUGGGUACAGUGGAACAAGCAUGAGGCAGAGACCCAGGAGAUGUGUUUUCCAGCUAAGGACUUCCAUGAAGAUUCAAGAUAGGGAAUGAGAAAACACUGUGAAGUGGUAAAAUCUUGCAAGUGGCAUUUGUGCCUUUGACAAAUGGGAGGCUGACAACAUUGGGACGUGGUUGACAAGUACAAAAUAGCAUUCAGGAGGCAGGCAUCAUGAAGAGGAAAACAACUCUUGUGUGUAGCUGUCUAUAUUGAGCCAGAUUUUAAAGAAGUGAAAAACUCUCUAUAUGGGAGUGAAGAACAUGAAGAUCUCAUAGUAAAAUCUGUUUUUCUUUUUAAGAUAGAUAGUUUUCUAAAGCCCUUUUCCCCCCACUGUACAAGACUAUAUUGGAAAAAUAUCCCUAGAAAAUGUAAUUCAGCAUAUUUUGAUGGAAAACAUUUUCUUUUGGUUAUAAGCAUCUAAAUAAUCCAUUGUGAACAUCAGAAGUUAUUGAAAACUCCAAUGUGUCUGCAAUAUAUCCCUUCUUGUAGAAUACAGGCAUGUUUUCUGAAGGUUUAUUGAAAAAUGAGAGUCUCAUAUAAAAUGUAUUUCAGAUCAUUUAACUUUUCUAUCUUCUUUUAUGAUCCAAUGAAUUUUAUUCAUUUUAGCAACUCAUGCUGAACCUAAGUACUUUAGGAUUAAGAUUAAAAUACUGAGUAUAUGAAUUAGGGUUAAUAAAAAAAUCCAAUAUAUUUUUGCUUAUGCAGCUACUGUCACUUAAAUGAAAUGAUACACUCAGAGGUGAAGUGUGGGUAAACUAACUGAUUUUCUUUUAAUUUGGUGUCCACAGAAAUCAAACCCAGAUGGUUCUAUUGUUAUAAAUUAAGGUUGAUCAAAGUGACAAAACUCCUGAGGGAAUCUUUUCUCAAGAAUUAAAUUGGGUGCCCAUAAUUGUAUUUCUAUAGCUCUAUCUCAUAGUGUAAUCAGGGAGAAAAAUUAAGACUAAUCUCUAGACCAUAGCAAAUAUCUCUCAUAUAGAUUUUAAUUUCCAUUGGCUGGGUUUGCUAGAGAGUACAGAUACAAAGGAGAAAUAUCUCUGAAAUGGAUUAUGAACAAUUUAAAUGACCUGAAUUGUAGUGGAAUUCCACAAGCAGGGUAAGUACUGGUCAAUAGGAAAAUUCAGACUAAAUUUGUAAUUUGAGGGCGGCCCCGGUGGCGCAGCGGUUUAGUGCCGCCUGCAGCCCAGGGCGUGAUCCUGGAGACCCUGGAUCGAGUCCCACGUCAGGCUCCCUGCAUGGAGCCUGCUUCUCCCUCUGCCUGUGUCUCUGCCUCUUUCUCUCUCUCUCUCUGUCUCUAUGAAAUAAAUAAAUCUUUAAAAUAAAUAAAUAAAUAAAUAAAUUUGUAAUUUGAGUUAAGACAUUGUGUAUAUAAAGGUGUAUAUAUAAACCCUGUGUGUGCCCCGGGGGCCUACUCUUGUUUGUUUCCAAUGGACAAUAAAAUUACGGAGUGGAUAUGCUUGUGAUAUGUGCUACUAUUCCUCACAAUCUUGGAAGAAUGGUAGCAACCCACAGAAACACAGCAUGG